UACAGAGGUGGCAAGCGUUGUUCGGAAUUACUGGGCGUAAAGCGUGCGCAGGCGGCUAUGCAAGACAGAUGUGAAAUCCCCGGGCUUAACCUGGGAACUGCAUUUGUGACUGCAUGGCUAGAGUACGGUAGAGGGGGAUGGAAUUCCGCGUGUAGCAGUGAAAUGCGUAGAUAUGCGGAGGAACACCGAUGGCGAAGGCAAUCCCCUGGACCUGUACUGACGCUCAUGCACGAAAGCGUGGGGAGCAAACAGG
rnacentral:rRNA from 1 species